CACGUAGGGCGCAAGCGUUGUCCGGAAUUAUUGGGCGUAAAGAGCUCGUAGGCGGUCUGUUGCGUCCGCUGUGAAAACCCGGGGCUUAACCCUGGGCUGGCAGUGGAUACGGACAGACUAGAGGUAGGUAGGGGAGAAUGGAAUUCCCGGUGUAGCGGUGAAAUGCGCAGAUAUCGGGAGGAACACCUGUGGCGAAAGCGGCGCACUGGACCACAUCUGACGCUGAGGCGCGAAAGCUAGGGGAGCAAACAGG
rnacentral:rRNA from 1 species